rnacentral:rRNA from 1 species
UAGGGAAUCUUCGGCAAUGGGGGCAACCCUGACCGAGCAACGCCGCGUGAGUGAAGAAGGUUUUUGGAUCGUAAAGCUCUGUUGUAAGAGAAGAACGUGUGUGAGAGUGGAAAGUUCACACAGUGACGGUUACUUACCAGAAAGGGACGGCUAACUACGUGCCAGCAGCCGCGGUAAUACGUAGGUCCCGAGCGUUGUCCGGAUUUAUUGGGCGUAAAGCGAGCGCAGGCGGUUUAAUAAGUCUGAAGUUAAAGGCAGUGGCUUAACCAUUGUUCGCUUUGGAAACUGUUAAACUUGAGUGCAGAAGGGGAGAGUGGAAUUCCAUGUGUAGCGGUGAAAUGCGUAGAUAUAUGGAGGAACACCGGUGGCGAAAGCGGCUCUCUGGUCUGUAACUGACGCUGAGGCUCGAAAGCGUGGGGAGCAAACAGG